rnacentral:snRNA from 1 species
GACCCACGAGAUUCGGCGGAACAUAUACUAAUAUUGGAACGAUACGGAGAAGAGAACCAUGGCCCCUGCACAAGGAUGACCCGCAAAAUCCUGAAGCGUUCCAUAUUUUU